GAUGAACGCUGGCGGCGUGCCUAAUACAUGCAAGUCGAGCGAACAGACGAGGAGCUUGCUCCUCUGACGUUAGCGGCGGACGGGUGAGUAACACGUGGAUAACCUACCUAUAAGACUGGGAUAACUUCGGGAAACCGGAGCUAAUACCGGAUAAUAUAUUGAACCGCAUGGUUCAAUAGUGAAAGACGGUUUUGCUGUCACUUAUAGAUGGAUCCGCGCCGCAUUAGCUAGUUGGUAAGGUAACGGCUUACCAAGGCGACGAUGCGUAGCCGACCUGAGAGGGUGAUCGGCCACACUGGAACUGAGACACGGUCCAGACUCCUACGGGAGGCAGAAGUAGGGAAUCUUCCGCAAUGGGCGAAAGCCUGACGGAGCAACGCCGCGUGAGUGAUGAAGGUCUUCGGAUCGUAAAACUCUGUUAUUAGGGAAGAACAAAUGUGUAAGUAACUAUGCACGUCUUGACGGUACCUAAUCAGAAAGCCACGGCUAACUACGUG
rnacentral:rRNA from 1 species